rnacentral:rRNA from 1 species
CUGACGAGUGGCGGACGGGUGAGUAAUGCUUGGGAAUCUGGCUUAUGGAGGGGGAUAACGACGGGAAACUGUCGCUAAUACCGCGUAUUAUCGGAAGAUGAAAGUGCGGGACUGAGAGGCCGCAUGCCAUAGGAUGAGCCCAAGUGGGAUUAGGUAGUUGGUGGGGUAAAUGCCUACCAAGCCUGCGAUCUCUAGCUGGUCUGAGAGGAUGACCAGCCACACUGGAACUGAGACACGGUCCAGACUCCUACGGGAGGCAGCAGUGGGGAAUAUUGCGCAAUGGGGGGAACCCUGACGCAGCCAUGCCGCGUGAAUGAAGAAGGCCUUCGGGUUGUAAAGUUCUUUCGGUAUUGAGGAAGGUUGAUGUGUUAAUAGCACAUCAAAUUGACGUUAAAUACAGAAGAAGCACCGGCUAACUCCGUGCCAGCAGCCGCGGUAAUACGGAGGGUGCGAGCGUUAAUCGGAAUAACUGGGCGUAAAGGGCACGCAGGCGGUUAUUUAAGUGAGGUGUGAAAGCCCCGGGCUUAACCUGGGAAUUGCAUUUCACACUGGGUAACUAGAGUACUUUAGGGAGGGGUAGAAUUCCACGUGUAGCGGU